rnacentral:lncRNA from 1 species
GCCGAUUGGGCAACAAGCCGCAAGAGAGGACGAUGCACCGAAGAAUCGGACGAAGCGCCAACCAAUGACGUGCCGGGCAAUAGAAUGUCAAUUCGUGUUGUAAUAAUUGUCUAGAUCGGAGUUGAGUUUUGGUUUGUGUGUUCAGGAUUAACUACGAUAACGAUGAAGAUAUAAAGCGAAACAAAGUGCCGGAGUCAAGCGCAAAGGAUUCGUUGGGAGUUCGAGAGUUCGACGGAAGUCCGAAGGUUCAUCGGGAAUGCUGUCGGAACUAGCCGAGAAUGAGUA